rnacentral:tRNA from 1 species
UCCCAGGUGGCUCAGUGGUGAAGAAUCUGCCUGCCAAGCAGAAGAUGCGGGUUCAAUCCCUGGUUUGGGGA